UUUGUCUUGUUUUGUUUCAGUCUACCAUCAACAAUCUCGACAGAAUUUUAGUUGCUCUCAUUGACUCAUUUGCAAGUUCAACGACCUUCUUUGUCAGUGACACCUUUGCUAAUGGCCAUGUGAUAGUCUACUCUUGGAAUAGCUCACAAUCCAUCUUCGACGGGAAGGUAUCAAUCAUUAGGCAACUCAAUCCACCAACAAGUGCACCUUCUACUUUGUCUCCUACCGAUCCCACACCUGUUACUGGGUCCCAAUUUCCAUUGCCCGGAGUAAUAGCUGGGAUAACUGUGGUGGUGAUUCUGCUAUUGCUUGUAGUCAUUGUUGUUGGAGCAGGCAUUGUAAUUUGUAUUAUAAAAAAAAAGAAAAAAGAUGCAGAAUGAAGUAACUAUUUAAGCUCCCGAGUCAGAUGGACAAGUGGAUUGGUGCUCAACGUUUCCAGGAAUUGAGCAGCCCAAUGAAGCUUAUGCUCCAGUACUCAAAAAGAACAUUGCUUAUGAGCAAAUAAAGAAACCACGGAGACAGAGGAUUGAUAACUCACAAGCCCCGGCAACAAUAGAGGGAGAGUAUGAGAGCAUUGAGCCAGUUCAUGAGUACGAGGAUGUGCUCCCGAAAACUAAUUGAUUUUAUAUCUCAACAGUUUUGACUUUACAAAACUAGAUUUAGAUGGGCAUGGCCCGUCCUCCAUUAUUAAGUUGCUUUAUUCAUUAUUUUGUGGUCACAAUCUUUUGUAGACAAUUGCAAACCAUGC